CCUACGGGAGGCAGCAGUGAGGAAUAUUGGUCAAUGGGCGCGAGCCUGAACCAGCCAAGUAGCGUGAAGGAUGACUGCCCUACGGGUUGUAAACUUCUUUUAUAAAGGAAUAAAGUGAGGCACGUGUGCCUUUUUGUAUGUACUUUAUGAAUAAGAAUCGGCUAACUCCGUGCCAGCAGCCGGGGUAAUACGGAGGAUCCGAGCGUUAUCCGGAUUUAUUUGGUUUAAAGGGAGCGUAGAUGGGUUGUUAAGUCAGUUGUGAAAGUUUGCGGCUCAACCGUAAAAUUGCUAGUGAUACUGGCAGUCUAGAGUACAGUUGAGGUAGGCGGAAUUCGUGGUGUAGCGGUGAAAUGCAUAGAUAUCACGAAGAACCCCGAUUGCGAAGGCAGCUUACUAAACUGUGACUGACAUUGAUGCACGAAAGUGUGGGUAUCAAACAGGAUUAGAUACCCGUGUAGUC
rnacentral:rRNA from 1 species